rnacentral:rRNA from 1 species
UACGGAGGGGGCUAGCGUUGUUCGGAUUUACUGGGCGUAAAGCGCACGUAGGCGGACUUUUAAGUCAGGGGUGAAAGGCCUGGGCUCAACCCGGGAACUGCCUUUGAUACUGGGAGUCUUGAAUCCGGGAGAGGUAAGCGGAAUUCCAAGUGUAGAGGUGAAAUUCGUAGAUAUUUGGAAGAACACCAGUGGCGAAGGCGGCUUACUGGACCGGUAUUGACGCUGAUGUGCGAAAGCGUGGGGAGCGAACAGG